rnacentral:rRNA from 1 species
UACGUAGGGUGCGAGCGUUGUCCGGAAUUAUUGGGCGUAAAGAGCUCGUAGGCGGUUUGUUGCGUCUAUCGUGAAAACCUGCAGCUUAACUGUGGGCUUGCGGUGGAUACGGGCAGACUUGAGUUCGGUAGGGGAGACUGGAAUUCCUGGUGUAGCGGUGAAAUGCGCAGAUAUCUGGAGGAACACCGGUGGCGAAGGCGGCAUCCUGGACCAACACUGACGCUGAGGGAGCGAAAGCCAGGGGAGCAAACGGG